rnacentral:rRNA from 1 species
UACGGGGGGGGCAAGCGUUGUUCGGAAUUACUGGGCGUAAAGGGCUCGUAGGUGGCCAACUAAGUCAGACGUGAAAUCCCUCGGCUUAACCGGGGAACUGCGUCUGAUACUGGAUGGCUAGAGUUUGGGAGAGGGAUGCGGAAUUCCAGGUGUAGCGGUGAAAUGCGUAGAUAUCUGGAGGAACACCGGUGGCGAAGGCGGCAUCCUGGACCAACAUUGACGCUGAGGAGCGAAAGCCAGGGGAGCAAACGGG